rnacentral:piRNA from 1 species
AUGUCAGGAUGGCCGAGUGGUCUAAGGCGCCAGACUCAA